AAAGGGGGUGCCAUACUGUAAACGGGCUGAGAUUAUACCCUGUGAACCUGAUGCGGAUAAUGCCGCCGUAGGAAAGAC
rnacentral:ncRNA from 1 species